rnacentral:tRNA from 1 species
GUAGUUUGACCAAGUGGUUAAGGCGUGCGCCUAUUGUUUCCCGCAGCGAGAGUUCGAAUCUUUCAGGCUAUA